rnacentral:rRNA from 1 species
GACGAACGCUGGCGGCGAGCCUAACACAUGCAAGUCGAACGGAGAUAUGAUUUCGGUUAUAUCUUAGUGGCGAACGGGUGAGUAACGCGUGAGCAACCUGACCUUCAGAGGGGGAGUAACACUUGGAAACAGGUGCUAAUACCGCAUAAGACCACGACCCGACAUCGGGAUGCGGUCAAAGGAGCAAUCCGCUGAGGGAGGGGCUCGCGUCCCAUUAGAUAGAUGGCGGGGUAACGGCCCACCAUGUCGACGAUGGGUAGCCGAGCUGAGAGGCUGAUCGGCCACACUGGAACUGAGACACGGUCCAGACUCCUACGGGAGGCAGCAGUGGGGAAUAUUGGGCAAUGGGCGCAAGCCUGACCCAGCAACGCCGCGUGAGGG